UACAGCACUCAAUGUUAAAAUCAGAUAAUACAUACAAUACAAUCAUCACACACACACACACACACACACACACACACACACACACACACACACACACACACACACACACACACACACACACACACACACACACACACACACACAUAAAGGUGUGUACAUUGUCGAUAGGGAAGUGUGCAUAAAUGAUGGCUACAUUCCUCAAGCUGAGGGAUGUUGUUUCAAGUUGUUUCCGUUAUUAUCAAUGGAAUGAGCUUUGAAUGGACUUUGACAUCAUUAACAGCACAGCUAUGCAAUACUACAGUAAACCUUAACUUCAGACAGUUGUAUGGCAAAAUCAGUCUCUGUACCUCAAACUCAUUCUCUGCUGUAGUCUCUACUCCAGCCUCUACAGCACACGCUGCUCUGGUUUUACUGCAGCCUUUUGACUCUACUUCAGUCUCUGCUACAGACAAAUUAAGUCUCUAGAGAUAGAGUCUCUAGAGCUUUAGACUCUAGUCGUCUUUAGCCUCUAUUGUUGUCUGUAGAGUUUUACUCUAGUCGGCUUUAGUCUCUACUGUAGUCUCUAGAGCUUUAGACUAGUCGUCUUUAGUCUCUACUGUUGUCUCUAGAGCUUCUGGAUCUAGUCUUCUUUAGUCUAUUGUAGUCUCUAGAGCUUUAGACUCUAGUCUUCUUAAGGCUCUACUGUAGUCUCUAGAGCUUUACCCUAGUCGUCUUUAGUCUCUACUGUUGUCCCUAGAGCUCCAGACUAGUCGUCUUUGUCUCUACUGUUGUCUCUAGAACUUUAGGCUCUAGUCUUCUUCAGUCUCUUCUUUCAGCUCUACUUUAGCCUCUACUUCAGCCUCGACAGCUCCCCUUUAAGGUGUCUCUCUGAGGCCCCACCACACUGUGACUGUUGGAAGGCUAGGUACUUCCCCACUGCAUCGUCUCCCAAGGGGCCGCUCUCAGGAGAGAGUAAAAUAAGGAAGUAUCUAUAAGUCAACAUCCGUGCAGCCACUGUGUGUGUGAGUGUGAGCGUGAGUGUGAGUGUGAGCAUGAGCACGAGUGUGAGCGUGAGUGUGUGCACGCACGUGUGUGUGUGUGUGUGUGUGGGGGUGUGUGCCGCCGCCAGUACACAUCUUCAUUUCAGAUCCAUAUCUGGAGUCCUGGUACGGCUGCCGCCUCCGGCCAACUUGACAAGGUCGGAGGGAUGGAGGGGGCGGCGCGAGGGGUGGCACAUGGGAAGGGGGUGGAGGAGAGGGGAGAGAUGGAGAGGUGAAAGGGGAAGAGCGGUGAAGGGAUGGAUUGAAGGGGCAUAGAUGGAGGAGGGGGAUCGAGAGCUGGAGGGAUGGAGAGGUUGAUGGGUGGAACGCAUGGGCCUGCACCAACUGCCUGUAAACAGAAAACAGAGUGAAUGAGUGGGGCAGGGCUGAUAUUACUGUAAGCGGUCAUGCAGGUUUUCACACUCGCAUAUACGGUCCCCCCCCGCCCUCUCAGCUUCCUAGAUGACUCAAACAGUUCCCCUCGCCUUGUCCUAAACAGGGAAGCAUGGUAGAUGGACAUCAAAGCCCACCGCCCACGAAACAACGGUAAUUCUACUGAUGUUUCUUCAACCGCAAAGUAGAACGGAAAUCCAAGCAGAGGAGAGCUUGAGCGUGUGAACUCCUUACACACGUGUGUGUGUGUGGGUGUGUGUCUGUGUUUCGGAAUGUACCAGAAUACCCCCCCCCCGGGGAUCAAUAAAGACUUAUCUUAUCUUAUCAGUCAACUGUGUGCAUUCUCUCCCAGGUACACCUGGCCGGGUCACAUGACUGUAACGGCAGGUAGGAGAUGUGAGGGCACUUCAAAGCACGCCGGCCGCGGCGGCGGUCUCUGAAGCCGUCAGACUGUUUCACUUUUUAUUGCGUUGAGUACACACGGUGGUCACCGUGACAACCGGCGCCACACAGCCUCCGCGCUGUCCGUUACGAUAUGCCGGUUGGCCGAAUGGCCAACCUUGUUCUUAAGCAAGCUACUGUUUUUGAAAAAAAACCUUCACACUUUAUUCUGACAUGUUGUUCACAUGUUGGGCGGGCGGGUGGCUGUUAAUGGACACAUUCUUGGCCCCAGGGCUGUGGCGUUUGACAUCCAUAACGACCUAAUAGGUGUGUAUUAUGAGGGCCGGGAGGUGAAGUGCUGUUGUUUGACUGAGCUCCAGCUGAUACCCGAUGAUGGAGUGUGUUUAUGCAAAACCAAGCCUUGACAGCACCAGCACCAAGCCUUCACAACAUUCAGCCCCCGCAGGCUCCAACAGUCUUAAAAACACACAGGGAGUUCAGAGAAAUGUGUCCCAAAGCCAUGUCCGUCAUAGUUUUAGUAAUGAAGUGUUGUACGCGACAUGUUAGGCAAUGUGUGCGUGUACUGAUAAUGUAAUCGAAUAUAAAAAGGAAAUGAAGACUUAUUGGUGGGGAAUGCACCAGUGUUUUUGAAGCGGGUUAUCAUGCAUGGGAAAAGGAAUCCAUGGGCGUUUGUCUACAUUAUGAGUCACACUUAAGUGUUUCCUCUCCAAGACCAGAGAUAUGAAGCGAUCUACUGGAACUCUGUGAUAGCACCAAGCUAGCUCGACUCCCCCUCCCCUGACUCCCCAGCCUAAAGUUCCUCGGGGUCAACAUCUGCGAGGACCUGACCUGGACUCACCACACCGACGCCAUCACAAAGACGGUGUCCACACGAAUCCUAACACGAAACCACAUAUGUCCG
ensembl:lncRNA